AUGGACUCCAGGCUCUUCUUCAUGGUCUCUAGUCUCCUGUGUUCAAAACAUAUGGAGGCUGCAGUCACCCAAAGCCCAAGAAACAAGCUGACAGUAACAGGAGGAAAGGUGACAUUGAGCUGUCAUCAGACUAAUAACCACAACAACAUGUACUGGUAUCGGCAGGACAUGGGGCAUGGGCUGAGACUGAUCCAUUUGUCAUACGGUGCUGGUGCUGACAGCACUGAGAAAGGAGAUGUCCCUGAUGGGUUCAAGGCCUCCAGACCAAGUCUAAAGAACUUCUCCCUUAUUCUGGAGUCAGCAUCCCUGUCUCAGACAUCACUAUACUUCUGUGCCAGCAGUGAUGCACAGUGA